rnacentral:lncRNA from 1 species
GUCUUUCAGGAUGAAUGCCAUCCACACAAAAGAGCUCCUGUUGACAUCUCAUUUACAAUCUCCCCCAGGACACAGACAAGACCCUUUCAAUAAAUCCAGCUCAGAAACACCUAUUGUUCAAAAUCUUCAACUCGCCACAGGCUACCACCACUCCCUAUGGCUUUGCAAAAUUAAAGAUUUAGAAGAAGGAUGGGGCGGUGGAAGCUAUGAAAAGAGGCAGGAAAAAAGUUCCUUUGACCCGAUGCUGUCAGAGAGCGUGCAUGAAGAAGAAAGUUAAUGGUAUUUCCAUUUAUAUAAGAAGCGCCUAAGAAAUGCCUGUGACGUUCGUGAACUAGUGAUUGUGAAUUCCAAAUUUGAUGCCAACUUUAUGUGUAAAGAAGCUAACUCCUGCCAACAUCGUGGCUGAAUGAACAGCUGGGACUAUGCUUAACCCAUUCCCAGCUUAUAAAAGCCCCAUGGCAGCUGCAGUGAAGCAUCAGAAAAGUAUAGUAAGAAGAAACUGAAUUUGAAGUGGAUUCUUACAAAGGAAAAAGAAAAUCACUAUUGUAACUAUACCAAAUUACUAUGUAUGUGAGCUCCCAGCUUUGACAUCAAGUCGUUACAGCCACGUAAUGGGAUUACGGGUGAUUUUUACUUUAUUCUUUGGGCUUCUCUGAAUUUUCCUAUAUUUUGAAAAAGCACCUGCAUUAUUUUGUAAUUAUAAAAAAGUAUAAAUAAGAAUUAUACACACUAUUAUUUCUUCACUGCUAUGACAUGACUAGAUUACAAUUUUUUUCUUUUUGAGAUGACUUUCGGUCUUGUUUCCCAGGCUGGAGUGCAGUGGCACGACCUCGGCUCAUUGCAACCUCCACCUCCCGGGUUCAAGCAAUUCUCCUGCCUCAGCCUCCCCAGUAGCUGGGAUUACAGGCACCUGCCACCACACCUGGCUAAUUUUAGUAGAGAAGGGGUUUCGCCAAGCUGGCCAGGCUGGUCUCGAACUCCUGACUUCAGGUGAUUGAUCCACCUGCCUCGGCCUCCCAGAGUGCUGGGAUUAGAGGCAUGAGCCAUCGCGCCUGGCCUAGAUUAUGGAAUUUUUGUAUUACCAUGUAUGUUGCCGUGUAAUUUUUGUUUUGAACCUUUUUUAUUUUUCUUUUAAUUCCUUUGAGACAGGAUCUUGUUCUGUUACCCAGGCUCACUGCAACAAGGUGAUUUUCCCGCCUCAGCCUCCAGAGUAGCUGGACUACAGGCCGGUGCCACCACACCCAGAUAAUAUUUUAUAUUUUUUGUAGAAAUGGGGUUUUGUUUUGUUGCCCAGGCUGGUCUUGAGCUCCUGGGCUCAAGCGAUCCACCCUCCUCAGCCUCCCAAAAUACUGGGAUUACAGGCAUAAGCCACUGCACCCGGCCUUGAGCAUUUGUUUUUUGAAGGAAAUUUUAUAUGAUUACCACAUAAAAAAGGAAUACUAAAAAUCUAACAUUAUUUGAUAUCUCACUGUCUUUGAAAACUUAAGGAACAUGGACCCAUACAAGGCAGCCAAAUAUUGGCCGGUAACUCCUUUACAACUGGGCUGCAGCAUAUUUUAUUACCUUCUCCUGACAAUUUCUUAUCUGGCUGCUUAUCAUUUCCAGAACAUACCAUCCUUUUGCAUGCCUUUACGCCAGUGGCAAACAUGGUUGUUUGCCUCCUCAUAACCAUUCUCUCUAUCCUGCUUGCUAAUGAGACCCCAGUACUGUUGAUCUUUUCCACACAGCUGUGAGUUUUAGGGGUGGCUAAGCCCCUCCCUACACGUGGAGGCUGAAUCUUCACCAGACUACCAGACAAAGAGAUGAGAAGGGAGGUUGGAUGGGAAUGUUCUGGGAAAGUUUACCUCACUAUUUAAAGCCACCCAAGUCAGGGACAUCCUUUUUCUUCCUCUGGACUUUGUCAUCUGCAAGGGAUGCUGGAACUGUGGCUGCCAUCGGGGGACCACAGAAAGUACUGGCCUAAGAAGACCAGCUCAGCUGGGCGUGGUGGCCUGUAAUCCCAGCAUUUUGGGAGGAUGCGGGCAGAUCAUGUGAAGUCGGGAGUUCAAGACCAGCCUGACCAACAUGGAGAAGCCCUGUCUCUACUAAAAAUACAAAAUUAGCCGGGUGUGGUGGCGCAUGCCUGUAAUUCUAGCUACUGGGGAGGCUGAGGCAGGAGAAUUGCCUGAAUCCGAGAGGUGGAGGUUACAGUGAGCGGAGAGGGCGCCACUGCACUCCCGUCUGGGCCAAUGAGAGUGAAACUCCAUCUCAAAAAAAAAAAAAGAUGAGCUCACACUGGGGAUGACGGGUGGAAGAAAGGCCAGCUGUAAUGAACUUGCUGGUUUUGGUAAAUUCAUUGCCUUACCCUUGGACCUGGUAUUGUUUGAGAAAAUAAAUUAUUUUGCCAUCU